rnacentral:rRNA from 1 species
GUUGGGUUAAAGCUCCCCGCAACCGAAGACCGCCAACCCUUGUCCACUAGUUACCCAGCAUUAAGUUGGGUACUUUAAGGAGAACUGCCGGUGACAAACCGGAGGAAGGUGGGGACGAACGUCAAGUCAUCAUGGCCCUUACGAGUAGGGCUACACACGUGCUACAAUGGCGAGUACAAAGGGAUGCAAACUGGUGACAGUAAGCGGACCCCUUAAAGCUCGUCGUAGUCCGGAUUGGAGUCUGCAACUCGACUCCAUGAAGUCGGAAUCGCUAGUAAUCGUAGGUCAGCAUACUACGGUGAAUACGUUCCCGGGCCUU